rnacentral:rRNA from 6 species
AAAUUGAAGAGUUUGAUCAUGGCUCAGAUUGAACGCUGGCGGCAGGCCUAACACAUGCAAGUCGAACGGUAACAGGAAGCAGCUUGCUGCUUCGCUGACGAGUGGCGGACGGGUGAGUAAUGUCUGGGAAACUGCCUGAUGGAGGGGGAUAACUACUGGAAACGGUAGCUAAUACCGCAUAACGUCGCAAGACCAAAGAGGGGGACCUUCGGGCCUCUUGCCAUCGGAUGUGCCCAGAUGGGAUUAGCUAGUAGGUGGGGUAACGGCUCACCUAGGCGACGAUCCCUAGCUGGUCUGAGAGGAUGACCAGCCACACUGGAACUGAGACACGGUCCAGACUCCUACGGGAGGCAGCAGUGGGGAAUAUUGCACAAUGGGCGCAAGCCUGAUGCAGCCAUGCCGCGUGUAUGAAGAAGGCCUUCGGGUUGUAAAGUACUUUCAGCGGGGAGGAAGGCGAUAAGGUUAAUAACCUUGUCGAUUGACGUUACCCGCAGAAGAAGCACCGGCUAACUCCGUGCCAGCAGCCGCGGUAAUACGGAGGGUGCAAGCGUUAAUCGGAAUUACUGGGCGUAAAGCGCACGCAGGCGGUCUGUCAAGUCGGAUGUGAAAUCCCCGGGCUCAACCUGGGAACUGCAUUCGAAACUGGCAGGCUAGAGUCUUGUAGAGGGGGGUAGAAUUCCAGGUGUAGCGGUGAAAUGCGUAGAGAUCUGGAGGAAUACCGGUGGCGAAGGCGGCCCCCUGGACAAAGACUGACGCUCAGGUGCGAAAGCGUGGGGAGCAAACAGGAUUAGAUACCCUGGUAGUCCACGCCGUAAACGAUGUCGACUUGGAGGUUGUGCCCUUGAGGCGUGGCUUCCGGAGCUAACGCGUUAAGUCGACCGCCUGGGGAGUACGGCCGCAAGGUUAAAACUCAAAUGAAUUGACGGGGGCCCGCACAAGCGGUGGAGCAUGUGGUUUAAUUCGAUGCAACGCGAAGAACCUUACCUACUCUUGACAUCCAGAGAACUUUCCAGAGAUGGAUUGGUGCCUUCGGGAACUCUGAGACAGGUGCUGCAUGGCUGUCGUCAGCUCGUGUUGUGAAAUGUUGGGUUAAGUCCCGCAACGAGCGCAACCCUUAUCCUUUGUUGCCAGCGGUCCGGCCGGGAACUCAAAGGAGACUGCCAGUGAUAAACUGGAGGAAGGUGGGGAUGACGUCAAGUCAUCAUGGCCCUUACGAGUAGGGCUACACACGUGCUACAAUGGCGCAUACAAAGAGAAGCGACCUCGCGAGAGCAAGCGGACCUCAUAAAGUGCGUCGUAGUCCGGAUUGGAGUCUGCAACUCGACUCCAUGAAGUCGGAAUCGCUAGUAAUCGUGGAUCAGAAUGCCACGGUGAAUACGUUCCCGGGCCUUGUACACACCGCCCGUCACACCAUGGGAGUGGGUUGCAAAAGAAGUAGGUAGCUUAACCUUCGGGAGGGCGCUUACCACUUUGUGAUUCAUGACUGGGGUGAAGUCGUAACAAGGUAACCGUAGGGGAACCUGCGGUUGGAUCACCUCCUUACCUUAAAGAA